CCUACGGGAGGCAGCAGUGGGGGAUAUUGCACAAUGGGGGAAACCCUGAUGCAGCGACGCCGCGUGUAGGAAGACGGUCCUCUGGAUUGUAAACUACUGUCCCCAGGGACGAAGAUGACGGUACCUGGGGAGGAAGCUCCGGCUAACUACGUGCCAGCAGCCGCGGUAAUCCGUAGGGAGCGAGCGUUGUCCGGAAUUACUGGGUGUAAAGGGAGCGGAGGCGGGGAUGCAAGUUGGGUGUUAAAUCUACCGGCUAAACUGGUAGUCGCACUCAAAACUGAAGCUCUGGAGUGAAGUAGAGGCAGGCGGAAUUCCUAGUGUAGCGGUGAAAUGCGUAGAUAUUAGGAGGAACACCAGUGGCGAAGGCGGCCUGCUGGGCUUUUACUGACGCUGAGGCUCGAAAGUGUGGGGAGCAAACAGGAUUAGAUACCCCGGUAGUC
rnacentral:rRNA from 1 species